AUAGGUAAACUAUAAUUAUAAAUAUUACAUUUAAACGAGGAUAGUAUUUACUGGUCGAUAGAGUCAUAAAAAUGACAGGUUUGACCAAAUAUCUGGGUUGGAAGAUAAUACGUCAUACAAGGUUUGCAAAUUUUGCAACUUAUCUCAUACUAUAGACCAAGAUACAGUUGAAUUCAAGGACAACGUUGUCAAGGACGAAUUUGCGAGCUCCUGUCAUUUACGGGAAUCUCAACACGCAUUUACCGCAGUUUCGACAUCAACGGAAAGCUCCCAUAUCACUGAGCCGUUAGCACAGGAUAUUCACAUUGAGAGUUGGUUACGCGAAAUAAAGUCUGAAGUUAAGACUGAAAUUAAAACUGAAGAAUUUAUAUAUACAGAUUCUGAUUAAUAUGGUAUCCAUGGUUUUGACGACACCUAACGUGUAAAGUGUCCAAGGUGUGGGGUGAUUCUCGCGAGAGAUCCACGAGGACCUAUCUAUUUCCAUACGAUACGGGGCUCAACUGACACUCCAUCCCUAGUACAAUAUUUGUUUUGAAUAGAACAAAACUUUAAGCACACAACAUUUAAGUGAGAACGUAUGCGCACGGAAGAUUGUCGAUGCGCACACGAUAUAAAUGUAAAACUUUUCUAUAGAGCUAGUGAAUUUAAUGUCUUAUGAGAUUGAAAAGUUUGGUACUGUUAAUCGAUUUUCGAAAUAUAUUACUUAGAAAUUAAGUUACAAAUAUGAAGCAGAAUGCAUCUUUGUGAUUAAAUAGCAAGAUGUAUUUAUUAUUUCAAUAUUAUUAUUCAUAAUUUCUACCCUGUACAAGGCAUUAUCUCGUCCGUACAGCAAAUGUUACGUAACGUUUACAGUAUUUUAAAAUUAGUUUAUCGUUAAGCAAUACAACAAGUGUAGAAUGGAAACUUUUCUUUUUCGCUUUCAAUCGUUCUACCUGUCCACGAGAGGUAGUUCGGUUAUUAUAUAUGUAUGUUGUAUAAUAACAUACACACUAUCAUAUUUUUAUUAUUACUAUUAUUAUAAACCUAUAUGUAUUGUAUUCACUAUAAUGGCAGUCACAAAAUAAAAAGUAACUUGCUGUUAAAUAAUGCUAAGCAUUCCAGCAAUAUUGCUGCAAAUCCUGUACAACCACAGGAAGCAGAGACUGAUCUAGAAACUGAACAACACCUAGACACACUUAAACAAAAGCAACAAGUAGGUAUAAAAGGUUACUUUGGAAAAGGGCGAAUGUUCUCAAAGAGAGAACAUACGCGAUUUGAUAAGUAAUUAUUCACUUUUCUU